rnacentral:rRNA from 1 species
UGGGGGAUAUUGCACAAUGGGCGAAAGCCUGAUGCAGCGACGCCGCGUGGGGGAUGAAGGCCUUCGGGUCGUAAACUUCUUUUGCUCUGAACAAGGCAUGCCUUUGGGGUGUGUUGAGUGUAGGGGUUGAUUAGCGCCGGCUAACUACGUGCCAGCAGCCGCGGUAAUACGUAGGGCGCGAGCGUUGUCCGGAAUUAUUGGGCGUAAAGGGCUUGUAGGUGGCUGGUUGCGUCUGUCGUGAAAGCUCAUGGCUUAACUGUGGGUUUGCGGUGGGUACGGGCUGGCUUGAGUGCAGUAGGGGAGGCUGGAAUUCCUGGUGUAGCGGUGGAAUGCGCAGAUAUCAGGAGGAAUACCGGUGGCGAAGGCGGGUCUCUGGGCUGUUACUGACGCUGAGGAGCGAAAGCGUGGGGAGCGAACAGG